UUCGGCUGUCACUUAUGGAUGGACCCGCGUCGCAUUAGCUAGUUGGUGAGGUAACGGCUCACCAAGGCAACGAUGCGUAGCCGACCUGAGAGGGUGAUCGGCCACACUGGGACUGAGACACGGCCCAGACUCCUACGGGAGGCAGCAGUAGGGAAUCUUCCGCAAUGGACGAAAGUCUGACGGAGCAACGCCGCGUGAGUGAUGAAGGCUUUCGGGUCGUAAAACUCUGUUGUUAGGGAAGAACAAGUGCUAGUUGAAUAAGCUGGCACCUUGACGGUACCUAACCAGAAAGCCACGGCUAACUACGUGCCAGCAGCCGCGGUAAUACGUAGGUGGCAAGCGUUAUCCGGAAUUAUUGGGCGUAAAGCGCGCGCAGGUGGUUUCUUAAGUCUGAUGUGAAAGCCCACGGCUCAACCGUGGAGGGUCAUUGGAAACUGGGAGACUUGAGUGCAGAAGAGGAAAGUGGAAUUCCAUGUGUAGCGGUGAAAUGCGUAGAGAUAUGGAGGAACACCAGUGGCGAAG
rnacentral:rRNA from 1 species